rnacentral:rRNA from 1 species
GAUGAACGCUAGCUACAGGCUUAACACAUGCAAGUCGAGGGGCAGCAUGGACAUAGCUUGCUAUGUUUGAUGGCGACCGGCGCACGGGUGCGUAACACGUAUCCAAUCUGCCCGUUACUCGGGGAUAGCCUUCUGAAAGGAAGAUUAAUACCCGAAGGCAUGUAUUUCCGGCAUCGGAGAUACAUUAAAGAUUUAUCGGUAACGGAUGAGGAUGCGUACGAUUAGCUUGUUGGCGGGGUAACGGCCCACCAAGGCAACGAUCGUUAGGGGUUCUGAGAGGAAGGUCCCCCACACUGGAACUGAGACACGGUCCAGACUCCUACGGGAGGCAGCAGUGAGGAAUAUUGGUCAAUGGUCGGAAGACUGAACCAGCCAAGUAGCGUGAAGGAUGACUGCCCUACGGGUUGUAAACUUCUUUUGUUUGGGAAUAAAAGACGCUACGUGUAGCGUUCUGCAUGUACCUUACGAAUAAGCAUCGGCUAAUUCCGUGCCAGCCGCCGCCGUAAGAC